rnacentral:misc_RNA from 1 species
GAUGAAGAACGUAGCGAAAUGCGAUAAGUAAUGUGAAUUGCAGAAUUCAGUGAACCAUCGAAUCUUUGAACGCACAUCGCGCCCGGCAGUAAUCUGCCGGGCAUGCCUGUCCGAGCGUCAUUUCUGCCCUCGAGCGAGUCCAGCAUCUAGGUGCUGGGCCCGCCCGGCGUUGGGGCACUACGGGAAGCCCUGUGCUGUCCCCCGUAGGCCCCGAAAUGAAGUGGCGGUCCUGCCGCGGCGCCCCCUGCGUAGUAUAACAGCUCGCUUCGGGACCCGGUGGAGGCCUGCCGUCAAACCUUACUCUCUAAGUUUGACCUCGGAUCAGGUAGGGUUACCCGCUGAACUUAAGCAUAUCAAUAAGCGGAGGA